rnacentral:rRNA from 1 species
CCCUUAGAUGUUCUGGGCCGCACGCGCGCUACACUGACGAUGGCAACGAGUUUUUCCUUCGCCGAAAGGUGUGGGUAAUCUUUUGAAACAUCGUCGUGCUGGGGAUAGAUCAUUGCAAUUUUUGAUCUUGAACGAGGAAUUCCUAGUAAGCGCGAGUCAUCAGCUCGCGUUGAUUACGUCCCUGCCCUUUGUACACACCGCCCGUCGCUACUACCGAUUGAAUGGUUUAGUAAGGACUCCUGAUUGGCGCCGCCGCCCCGGCAACGGAGCAGCGGACUGCCGAAAAGUUGUUCAAACUUGAUCAUUUAGAGGAAGUAAAAGUCGUAACA